AUUGAACGCUGGCGGCAGGCCUAACACAUGCAAGUCGAGCGGAGCGGCGGACGGGUGAGUGAUGCCUAGGAAUCUGCCUGGUCGUGGGGGUUAACGUCCGGAUACGGGCGCUGAUACCGCAUCCUAUCAGAUGAGCCUAGGGCGGAUUGGCUAGUUGGUGGGGUAAUGGCCUAACAGGGCGACGAUCCGUAACUGGUCUGCGAGGAUGAUCAGUCACACUGGAACUGAGACACGGUCCAGACUCCUACGGGAGGAAGCAGUGGGGAAUAUUGGACAAUGGGCGAAAGCCUGAUACAGCCAUGCAGCGUGUGUGAAGAAGGUCUUCGGAUUGUAAAGCACUUUAAGUUGGGAGGCGUUACCAACAGAAUAAGCACCGGCUAACUUCGUGCCAGCAGCCGCGGUAAUUC
rnacentral:rRNA from 1 species